rnacentral:sRNA from 2 species
GUCGAACGUAGUGAGACAACGGAGCCGCUUGCGGCGACGGCCCGAAGGGCGAGGCGAAGCCGAGUCAUCCUGCACGACCCACCA